CUGCAUGUGGUGGAAAUGUCUG
rnacentral:miRNA from 1 species